rnacentral:rRNA from 1 species
GAUGAACGCUGGCGGCGUGCCUAAUACAUGCAAGUCGAGCGAACGGACGAGAAGCUUGCUUCUCUGAUGUUAGCGGCGGACGGGUGAGUAACACGUGGAUAACCUACCUAUAAGACUGGGAUAACUUCGGGAAACCGGAGCUAAUACCGGAUAAUAUUUUGAACCGCAUGGUUCAAAAGUGAAAGACGGUCUUGCUGUCACUUAUAGAUGGAUCCGCGCUGCAUUAGCUAGUUGGUAAGGUAACGGCUUACCAAGGCAACGAUGCAUAGCCGACCUGAGAGGGUGAUCGGCCACAUUGGAACUGAGACACGGUCCAGACUCCUACGGGAGGCAGCAGUAGGGAAUCUUCCGCAAUGGGCGAAAGCCUGACGGAGCAACGCCGCGUGAGUGAUGAAGGUGUUCGGAUCGUAAAACUCUGUUAUUAGGGAAGAACAUAUGUGUAAGUAACUGUGCACAUCUUGACGGUACCUAAUCAGAAAGCCACGGCUAACUACGUG